rnacentral:rRNA from 1 species
AACGACUCUCGGCAACGGAUAUCUCGGCUCUCGCAUCGAUGAAGAACGUAGCGAAAUGCGAUACUUGGUGUGAAUUGCAGAAUCCCGUGAACCAGAUGAAGAACGUAGCGAAAUGCCGGAUACUUGGUGUGAAUUGCAGAAUCCCGUGAACCAUCGAGUCUUUGAACGCAAGUUGCGCCCGAAGCCAUUAGGCCGAGGUCGCACGUCUGCCUGGGCGUCACGC